UUAUCUGGCCGAUCUGCCAGUAGUGAUAUGCUUGUCUUAAAGAUUAAGCCAUGCAUGCCUCAGUACAAACUGUUGUAGAGUGAAACCGCGAAUGGCUCAUUAAAUCGGUUAUGGUUCCUUGGACCCAAAAUUUUACUUGGAUAACUGUGGUAAUUCUAGAGCUAAUACAUGCAUUUCAGUCGUGACCCGAAAGGGGAAGGACGCUUUUAUUAGAUCAAAGCCAAUCGGCCGGUUCGCCCGGUCGUUCCGUUUUGGUGACUCUGGAUAACCUUGGGCUGAUCGCACGGUCUCCGCGCCGGCGACAUGUCCUUCAAAUGUCUGCCUUAUCAACUGACGAUGGUAGGUUUUGCGCCUACCAUGGUUGUAACGGGUGACGGGGAAUCAGGGUUCGAUUCCGGAGAGGGAGCCUGAGAAACUGCUACCACAUCCAAGGAAGGCAGCAGGCACGCAAAUUACCCACUCCCGGCACGGGGAGGUAGUGACAAAAAAUAACGAUACGGGACUCAUCCGAGGCCCCGUAAUCGGAAUGAGUACACUUUAAAUCCUUUAACGAGGAUCUAUUGGAGGGCAAGCCUGGUGCCAGCAGCCGCGGUAAUUCCAGCUCCAAUGGCGUAUAUUAAAGUUGUUGCGGUUAAAAAGCUCGUAGUUGGUUCUGUGUGCCACGCUGUCGGUUCACCGCCUGCCGGUGCAACUGGCAUGCCGUGGGAUGUCUUGCCGGAGGGGGCCGAGGUUCGCAGCGCAGGCUUCGUGUCUCGCUGCCGGGCCGAGGUCCUCGAUCACGCUGCCACGGUGCUCUUGAUCGAGUGUCGGGGCAGGCCGACAAGACUACUUUGAACAAAUUAGAGUGCUUCAAGCAGGCUUAACGUUGCCUGAAUAGUUGUGCAUGGAAUAAUGGAAUAGGACCUUGUUUCUGUUUUGUUGGCUUUCGGAAUUCAAGGUAAUGAUCAAUGUGGACAGGCGGGGGCAUUCGUAUUGCGACGUUAGAGGUGAAAUUCUUGGAUCGUCGCAAGACGAACUAGAGCGAAAGCAUUUGCCAAGUAUGUCUUAGUUGAUCAAGAACGAAAGUUAGAGGCUCGAAGGCGAUCAGAUACCGCCCUAGUUCUAACCAUAAACGAUGCUAGCCAGCAAUCCGCCGAUGUUCCUCCGAUGACUCGGCGGGCAACCCCCGGGAAACCAAAGCUUUUGGGUUCCGGGGGAAGUAUGGUUGCAAAGCUGAAACUUAAAGGAAUUGACGGAAGGGCACCACCAGGAGUGGAGCCUGCGGCUUAAUUUGACCCAACACGGGAAACCUCACCGGGCCCAGACAUUGGAAGGAUUGACAGAUUGAUAGCUCUUUCUUGAUUCAAUGGGUAGUGGUGCAUGGCCGUUCUUAGUUGGUGGAACGAUUUGUCUGGUUAAUUCCGAUAACGAACGAGACUCAGGCUUAUUAACUAGGCGUCCGGUAUCUUCGGCUACCGGCGUUCUAAUAUCUUCUUAAAGGGAAUGGAGGCGCUUAGCCUCACGAGAUUGAGCAAUAACAGGUCUGUGAUGCCCU
rnacentral:rRNA from 1 species